rnacentral:lncRNA from 1 species
UCAUCAUCAGCCAAAAUAACCUUUGCACCCUGACGAUCCACAUAAACAUUUCUUCCUUCCAUGUGAUGCACUACUAUUGCCACCAUCACGAGACUGGGAUAUCCCAUAAUCAAAGGUCAACUCCGUCAUUGGCGGAAUAUGUCUCAUUGCAAAGAAAGCGAUAUUGAUAUGAGUUUAUUGAUAUGAGUUUCUAUUGAUAUGAGUUUCAUUGUUGUUCUCGUACAUAACUGGCUGCCAGAAUGUGUUGGGCUCACAACUGUGAUUCAUAAACCGAGCUACAUUUCCAACUUCUUUUUGCACUUAUGACGAGAGGAUAUGGAAUAUCAUACUGUUCAUUAAUGUCAUUAAGAUCCUCUUCUAUCAACCCAGGUUCACAAUUCCACCUGAACGAGUCAUAUACGCGGGUUGAAUCAAAGACAUAGUCAUCUCCGUGACUUUCUUCUCCAUUUUGUGCUGAUCUAACAUUUUCCGUCGCUUCACCGGCAUAUACACAUAUAAAUCCACCAGCACGAAUGGGUUCCCAUGACCUUAAACCCAGCCUUUACCCUUUGUUUUGAAAACUUCAAGGUGAAGUUUCAAACCUGUUUGAGACACACGGUUUUUGCAAUUAGCAAUGCAUGCACAUGUAGAGCCACAUUCAUAGACCAAUGGCUUCCUGCUAACAAGAGUCCCGUUACCGAUAUAUGGACUCAAGUUGCCAUUUAAUCUCAUGCAAGAGCAGUUUCCGUCAUUAGCUUGGCAUGCCUUACGGCAGUUGCACCCUAAAUAAGGCUGGGAGAGUUUAAAUGACUUGGAGUACUUCACAGAAGCAAGAUAUGUGAAGUAAGCAGGCCCUCUGUCUUCGUCAACCUCAUUUACAAGUGACACAGGCAAACUUUCAGCCCCCGAAGUUAGGUCGGGAAGAAUCAACCCCAUUCUAAAAGAAACUCCCUCCUUCCAUUUCUCAAUUGAUUUCCAGAGAGAAAAGGCAUCAGGUUAAGCAAGCAUCCUAACAAGCUUGUACUUGAAUAUAUUGCAACCAGUAUUGGCCUUCUCCAUCCACGACUCCUUAAUCGUGUAAAGACCAUCAUACACAUAAACCUUUGACGCUAUAGUGUUGCCAUCUUUCACACCUCGGAUGACACGGACCUGGCUUCCCCUGCGUAGACUCCUCUCCAGCGCAAGAUUACCCCUCUCAAGUUUCUGAUCAGUUGCUCCCUUUUUGCUGAUGGAGUUACCUCCAUGGCCACUGUAGAUAAGAACAUCUGAAUCAUUUGCAGCAUUGUCAUAGUAGCCAGAUGAAACAAUGCUUGUAGCCAGUGGCUCCUCCUCUAAAUCACCUCUUACGAUCAUAUAAUCUAUGCCAGCCAUGGUCUGGGUAUGCAACCCAACCAAACACAUCUCCAUACGUAAAAAAAAGAUAUCACCAACCUCAACUCCAGGAACCACUCCCGUUCUCUUCCUAGAGUUCGUCCUUACAUUAUUGCUAUUCAAGAUGGCGCAACUUGGGGAAGCCUUGGCAGGUCGAUUGCUUCCCAUAAGUGUUGGUGUUUCGAAUCAAUCAUAAUUACAAAAUACCAUGAGCUAACCAUUUGGACAUAUUCAGAAUGGUUAAGAAACAGAGGAACAGGAUUGUCAUCAUCAUCCUUUAAGUAUUAAACAAAAUAAACUAAUUCUGUAGCUUUACGCAAAAUCCACUUCAUCGGAUCCAAACCAUCUAAUUUCUCUUUCCUAAUCUUGUAUGACUCGUUGUAAAUUUGAUUCAUAUUGUGACGAAUGUUGAACUUCUUCAAUACAUGAUCUUAUUCGGUUAUGUGUGAACCUCCACCAUAUCCCAAUUUUUUUUUUCCGCCUCAUCUGAUAACAGAUUGCUUUCCGUGCUGAUUUCAGUAAAAAAAAACUAAAGGAUGAUUGUGGUACCCCUUCAAUUUAUCAGGAUUCUUGAUGUCUCCAAAUCCGUCAAUAAAAAACUUUCACUCACAAUCUACCACCAUUGACCGCACAACAAGUCUGAAUGGGCAAUUACACUUAUUUGACUUCGUCGCUCGUUUUGACGGAUCUGAACCCUCAGACUUGCAAACAGGUCUACGUGAGCAAUACAGAUACACCCGACACUCCUUUUCCGAGUCAUUGCUUUUGUUGGACCCAUUCAUCAGAUGGAAAUUAAGUGUUAUAGAAAUCUGUUUUGCAGCUUGCGCCGCUUAACCGACAAUGUUGUACACAUCGUCGGAUAAGAACCAGUCAAAGUAAUCAAUUCCUUCACUAGAAUCAGCUCCCUACAAAAUAUGAACAUCGAAAUACAAACUACAUUAAUCAUUUAUCUACAUAUAACCUAUUGGUUGAGCGUUUCUAGACACUGGUCGAACACUUAUCGUAGUACUUAUGGCGAUAUCCCAUGCAUCCAACCGAUACUUCAAGUAUUCAAAUUAACGAACCGACCUAAACGAAAUUCAGAGAUUUAAUUAAAUUUGACAUAAAAUUAAAAAAAAAAGAAACUGGACGGACCGGUUUUCGGUCUAGUCAGACAGGCCAGACGAACCAGAUUUCCGUCAGGGUGGUCUGACCGGACGGAAUACCUGUCUGAGCUGGUGGUCCAGCCAAACAGACCGGACAGACUGGUGUUCCGUUCGGUCAGACCACCCAGACGAAAAUCUUGUCCGUCUGAGCUGUCUGACCGGUCGAAAACCGGUUCGUCCAGAUUUUUUUCACUGCUAAUUUUUUUAACUUUCGUACCUCAAAAUCUUGGGUCGUGGUUCGUCGGGAGCGUUUUCGAGCAAUUAAAACAUACUACAAGAGAGUUGUUUUAGUCAAGUUGUAAGUUUUUCAUUUUUUCAAGAUAGGACGUUUAAGUCUUUAUAUAAUGUAUGGCGUUGUCUAAUUCAAAAACUAAGACGUCGUUUAGUAACCCUUUUUUAAAACUGUUUCACUUUCGACAAUCGCGAAGUGAAAUCGUGUGGCAAAAGAGAUGGAUAGCUGCAAUUUUGAGUAGCGAGUCUCCCCUUUUCUCUCGCCUUCGACUUCGGGGUUUCUCUUAAUCCAACAGAUCAUGCUCAUCGGAUCUGAUUUAUUAUUAUUUUUGUGAAAUCAUUGUCAUUAUGGUCCGCCAUGAGAUCAAUUGAAUAACACAAUCAUGUCGUUUGAACGAGGUAUUUUGGAUAUGUGAUAUUUUGAAAUAAAAUAUUGGGUUAUUUGAGAAUAUUAUAUUUUUGUUGUAUAAAAAAUUUAUAGUAUGAAAAUUAUUUUGUUUGACAAAUUCAAAACAAUGUGUUAAUUCACGUAUUUGAUGAAUAAAAAAGUCUAUUACUAUAUUACCCUCAAAAGCUCAAUUUCUAACGAAGAGAAUGACCGUAUUUGUGAAAUUAUUUUGUUAUGUGUUUUACUGUAAAAUGAUGUUUUAUGUUUUAACGUAUUUUGAAGUUGGAUUAUGUGGUAAUCUUAUAUUUAAAAUUUUAAUUAAUAAGUUAAGCGGGGUGGGGAUACCCACUGGUAUUCGAAACUCGCGAAUUUGGGAUGGGUAUGAAUAUUGAUAUUCGGAUGGAGACGAUGAUGGGGAUGAAUUUUAUGAAUAAGUAUGAAGAUGGGUGUAGGUACCCAGUCUGAAACCCGCCCCAUUGCCAAGUCUAAUUGUAAAAAGGAAGAACAAAUCCAUCGUAGUUUGGGAUUUAAAAGAUAAUAGAGUGUUAUACAAAUCCACUAAUUCAAAUACCACACCCCCAACUCAGGUAUUUCAAAUAUCACAAAAACCCACUAUUUCAAAUAUCUCAUGUCAAAAUACCACUGAUUUUAUUUCUGAUGCCAAACGUGGUAUUUUAACCCAAAACCACAUUAUGUGGUAUUUGGGCCAAAAUACCACAUCCAAAUACUCAAUCCAAACGACCUACACAUCUAUUAAAAUAUAGUAUCAUUACAGGCAAAAAAUGUGUUCGAGAUAUCAUUUGUAACAAUCCACGUAAAUAAAUUCUUGUUGAGCCAUAAAUUGAACUCAUUCAACAAACUGCACGAGUAAAUACAACUAGAUCACUGGGAACGACACACCAACCUAUUAAAUAAACCCGCUUCUUCUCAAAAGGGGGUCAAACACAGUGUUACAAGUCGGUAAACGUAAUGAAAACUAGAAGACUAUAAACGUAGAUUGCGCAACUCCCCUCAAGCCCCAGUUUUUGCAUUCAUGAGUUCUUGGACAAAAAAAACAAUGUAUCAGUGCUGAUCACUGAGUAAGAUACUAAACUAGAUCAUUAAGCAUUAAAGCCCACCAACUUAAGCAAACAUCUGCUAUUAUUGAGCACACCUGGUUAUGCAGACUGUACUAACUAUCUAGAUGAUACUAGUUAUAUUAACCGGAUAAUCCUGGUUAUACAAGCUAGGAGUACUAAUACUUGACAAUGGUCACAAGGACCCGUGUACCAAAUAAGUGAUCGACCAAGGGUACCGAAUAGUGAAUCAGACCUAAAAGGUUACACAAUCUAGGAUGGGCUACCUACAUUGAUCAAUGCAUGUUCAAACCUGAGCAAAUCACCGAAUCCGUCAAUAAUAACUGUCGAGAAAAACAAACGGUACUACCAAUGAAUAACCAAUGCAUAAUCUAGAUCAAAUAGCACAUAAUGCUCUCACUAGUAACAAUAGUGGUAUGUGUCGCAUUUUACUAAAUGGUCACAGGAAUUUUCUUAUCACAAACAAGGAUAACACGUACCAAUUAACAGAAACAUCUCAAAGAUGGACUGUAUGCUUCCUGGGGGCAGGUUUGCUAACAAGAAUACAACAUGACCAGUAACUAACUUACUUUAGUGUUUACACACAAAUAGUCAAAUACUAAAGAGUACUUCAAGCUGCAGAAGUGCCGCCGACCUUGAUAAACACUUCCCCUACAGGUACACACAGUCACAUUCACCCCUAAGCAUAACUAACGGUAGGAUCCAAAUGCCUCCGAUGUUAAGAUCUAGUAACGCAAGGACACGUCAAAAUGAUGCCCACAAGUAACCUUGGUGUAUCACAGGCCAAUUGUGGUGCCUGCUCAUUGGCCGCGACUCGCCCCAAAAGGUCUCGAGUGUAACUUCAACUGCAUAGCAAUGGAAGAGGCAAUAAAUUAUAAGAUAAAAGACUAAUUAAGAAAGUGAAAUACAGGAGGGAAGUUGGGAUUUUCAUCAGGAAGCAAACGAGUUUUUAGUGUUUUUUCUUGUUCACGUUCUUUAUUUCUAUGCAGAGUGGACAUAACCAGAUCAAAGAAACAAAAGGCAUAAGUAAUAUGCUCGUUAAGCUCAGUAAUAUCAAAGUAAACUAACGGUAUGCUCAUGUGUUCAUUCAAUUCCCAUAAGACGAUGAACAAAAACAUCACCUUGAAACCAACAAUCAUUCAGAAAAAAGAACAAGCCACUGAAGCCUACCAGCAGGGUUUCGACUCGGAUCACCCCGUUCCCAUGGUAUUUACCAGAUAUCCAUAGACUACGUAGGGUAUCAUUGUAUUUUCAGACAAUAGUUGAGCUUAUCUCAUUUUCAACUGAUUGCUUAAGAGGAUAUCUUGUUCUCAAACCAUCUUCCACAUAGAUGGCCUUAAAAUCCAGACAUUUCAAUGAGCACAUUUCACGAAAUACCUCGACUCCUAAAUCAAAUCUUCCAAACAAACUCUCAAAUGGAAAAAGGAAACAACACAAAAUGGAAAAACCCAGUAAAUAAAUAUGAAUCUGUCUGCCUAGGAAAUUGCUUCUAAACCCAUGUCUGGACUGUUGCAUGACACAAGUAAUGCUUCGGAGUCGGAGAGUCAAGAUUGUCAACUGCAGGAUAACUAACAAAACAAAUGCAAAUGGUUCACAGAAAGAACUCUACUUGAUGAAGGUAACCAGAAAAGUGUGGGGUGUGGCCGGAAAAUAUAUUGAUGCAAAUCAAAGCAGAGGCGAAAUACAAAUAUGGAGCAGAUGAAUUUCAGAUGUCACCAAUAAGGCAUCAAACAUAACAUACUGCAAGAUAACUAACCUUUAGUUCCGAAAGGAGAACCACCAUGGCCAGGACGCAAAAUGCAAAACAAUCAGCCAAAAUAGCCUUUACAACUUGACGAUCCACAUAAACACUUCUUCCUUCCCUGAGCACCGGAUACCCCGUAAUCGAAGGUCAACUCCGUCAUUGGCGGAAUAUGUCUCAUUGCAAAGAAAGCGAUAUUGAUAUGAGUUUCGUUGUUGUUCUCGUACAUAACUGCCUGCCAGAAUGUGUUG